AAAAAAGAGAGUAUGGUAGGUCCAGGUUUCUAUUGGUGAAAGUUCUUGCAGCUGACCAUGAUUCCCAAUUAUCAAUGAUGACCAGUAGAGUUGCUGUUGUUCGCUGUAUUUUAUUCUUCAAAAGUAUCAUUUAAGCUAUUUCAUGCUGCUUUGGCUUUCUAGCUGCAAUUAUCAUUUUGCUUCUCUGAAAAUUAUGAUCAUGUGUCUUGCAAAUGGUGAUGAUUUAUCAUUUUAAUUUUGUCUUCAAAUUAUAGAUAAAUAAGCUUGUUGAGUUAUAU
rnacentral:misc_RNA from 1 species